rfam:Cricetulus griseus cell line CHO-K1, whole genome shotgun sequence.
GGGAGAUAGCUCAGUGGUUAAGAGCACUGAUUGUUCUUCCAAGGGGCCUGGGUUCAAUUCCCAGCACCCA